rnacentral:rRNA from 1 species
UAAAUCUGUUCUCAGUUCGGAUCGCAGUCUGCAACUCGACUGCGUGAAGCUGGAAUCGCUAGUAAUCGCGGAUCAGCAUGCCGCGGUGAAUACGUUCCCGGGCCUUGUACACACCGCCCGUCACACCACGAGAGUUUGCAACACCCGAAGUCGGUGAGGUAACCUUUAUGGAGCCAGCCGCCGAAGGUGGGGCAGAUGAUUGGGGUGAAGUCGUAACAAGGUAGCCGUAUCGGAAGGUGCGGCUGGAUCACCUCCUUUCUAAGGA